GCUUAGAGGCAUCCCUGGAGGGGGACAUUUCCCCCUUGCAAACCCAAACUUCUAUCAAUAACUUCUACUUCCAAGAAGCCAGGCCCUCUUUCCUGCCUCUGGGUGCAACCAGCUGCUUAGAAGCUGGGCAAGGUUAGCACCAAUAACAGGACUAGGGAAACUCCCAGAACAGGCUCCUGAGGGGGAGCAGCAGUCUUUGCCCUGUCCCAGGGCGCUUCCCCAGUACAGCUCCAAUCCCUACAUAUCUGCCUGGCAGACCCGAGAAGAACUGAGCUGGAAUAGCUCCAGCCCCGUUCCUGCCACCAUUCCAUAACUCUUCUAAGGGUCUAUGGCGUGCUGCUCUCCGGAAGUUCAACUUCCAUCAGGCAGCACUUUCCUCACCAGGGUUUCUGGGAGGAUGCAAAUUCUAAAGUGUUCCGGUGCUCUCACCUGCAAGGACAUAUCAAUGGGGGAGGGGUAACGGGAGGUUUCCGAGUGAAGAGGCCGGUUCUUAGCCUCUUUGGCCUCUCCUCGGGAGCAAGGUUUGGCAGGGCUGGGGGAGGCAGGGCAGGGAAGCUGGAAGGUCUAGGGGUGCCAAGUGCACUCUGCAUUUCCUUCUGUAGGCCAACCCAGCCUUUACCCUCCCCACAAAGAUUGUCAGCUUUCCCGGGCGUGUCCCCCGCCCCUCCCCUCCCAGUGGCAGGGUGGGGACCAGAUCUGGAUUGGUACGAGUCCUUCUCCACAAAAAAAGGUGAAUCUCAUGAACAGCUAGAAUUGAAGACCCCAGCCUCCUGGAUCAUGAACUCCAUCCUGGGAGACUGUAUCCUGGGACUUGGCACAUGAAGCUGAUGUGUCGCUGCACGCUCUGAAUCUGAUGCUCCAGGGACAUGGUAUCCAUGGUAACCCAGGCCAAGGCCCCACCUGGGGAGGACCACAAAGUGAACACACAUCUUUUGAGCCCAUCUGUCCUGCCACACYGUCAGAUCCCUCGUGGUCACCUCUACUCUGGAGUCUUCUUGUCAUUGGGUAGAC
rnacentral:lncRNA from 1 species